rnacentral:tRNA from 1 species
GCGCAAUUAGCUCAGCUGGCAGAGCACCUGACUCUUAAUCAGGGUGUCCGGGGUUCGAACCCCCGAUUGCGCA